AGUAUCGCGAGAUCAGGAAGGUGGCCGAGUGUGUCGCCGCGGCCAUCAGGCACUUCUCCUUCCUGCCCUUGUAUGAAGAAGGAUGUGUUUGCUUCCCCUUGUGCCAUGAUUGUAAAUUUCCUGAGGCCUCCUCAGCCCUGCAGAACUGGCUAGAGCAAUGUAUCUUAGGCUCACUUAAGGAAGCUGUAGAGAUGAGCCCAAGGAGGGAAACCAGAAGAGCCCCCCAGGCUCACCAGUUGUUUGUUGGCUCCCUACAAACAUGUCAUUCAAGUGGCUAAUCUUACAACAGCACAAAUUCAUCUAACCAGAAAGAGAAGAGGAGGCUCCAAAGGCACUUGACUACUGAGCAUCACCCUGGACGUGUACAAGUCUGCGUCCUUAUUGUUUUCUUCAUUGGGCCGAACUUUCUGGUCCUCAUCCAACAGCUCUUCUAUCACGUGUUCGAAAGUGUCAGCCAAUGAUGUCAAGCCUCUUGAACCUGCCUUGGGCCCAUUCACGCUCUCCAGAGUCCCAUGGGUCCGCACACCUGGAGAUACUCUAUUAUAGCAAAGAAGAAAGAUAAUUUCAUUGAGCCAUCCUGUUUUACAGGAUUUUCCCUCCUGGUGAGUCAAAAUGAACAAGAAAUACCCCAGGACCUCCCUUCCCUCCUUGGCCAUUAAUGAGAUGAAGGCAAUUAACUCACAUAGUAUAAAUGAAUCAUUUGAGGUGAUGACUGCAUUUUAGGCAAAUGAUGACUUUCUUGGUUCCAUUGGUUUGCAAGUAAAAGUUACACACAUUGAAAAGACACUGAAACAGAUUUCCUAAAUGCUUCAUUUUCUGGAUGCACCAAUGUUGACCUACUAUACAUGUUAAAUGGUUUUAAAAUAUCACCUUAAAAUAAAGGAAACUUCCAGCUACUAACUCAGCUCUGAAUGGGCUAUGAAAGGCUCCAAAGGUAUGUGAAAAAUUACUGUUAUUUUGCUUUAAAAAAUGUGAUGUCUAAGAGUGUCUGCAAUGUUCUAAUGCUUCAAAACAUGUACGUAAGCCUUGUUUAUCUGGAAAUCAUUUCUUUCUGCUUAUAUCAUUUAUAAAUAGAAAAUGUUCUGUAAUAACUUAAAAUAGUUCCACAUACAUAAUGCUUUUAGUGUCAUAAUACUUACUACUGGUCUAUAUUUACCAACAUUUAUCACAUUUUACAAAAUGAAGUAGAAGAAAAAAAAGACAACGACUUUAUGGCCCUGGAAUUCCAGUAAUGGUGACCAACAUGUUUUAAAUUCCAGUAAAGGUUAUGGUUACAUUUCAACAA
rnacentral:lncRNA from 1 species